GUAGCUACCCGGUAGGUACGCUACAAGCCCGCCGGUGGACCACUAAACUCUGUUUUAAUACCGAAUCUCUGAAUGCUUCAACUUAAUAAGUUAAAACUUUCAACAACGGAUCUCUUGGUUCUGGCAUCGAUGAAGAACGCAGCGAAAUGCGAUAAGUAAUGUGAAUUGCAGAAUUCAGUGAAUCAUCGAAUCUUUGAACGCACAUUGCGCCCAUUAGUAUUCUAGUGGGCAUGCCUAUUCGAGCGUCAUUUCAACCCUUAAGCCUAGCUGCUUAGUGUUGGGAAUCUGCCCUGUUUUUUUACAGCGCAGUUCCUUAAAGUGAUUGGCGGAGUUAGGGCAUACUCUAAGCGUAGUAAUAUUUCUUCUCGCUUCUGUAGUUGUCCUGACGGCUUGCCGUUAAACCCCUAUA
rnacentral:rRNA from 1 species